rnacentral:rRNA from 1 species
CCUACGGGCGGCAGCAGUAGGGAAUAUUGCUCAAUGGGGGAAACCCUGAAGCAGCAAAGCCGCGUGGAGGAUGAAGGUUUUCGGAUUGUAAACUCCUUUUGUUAGAGAAGCUAAUGACGGUAUGCAACGAAUAAGCAACGGCUCACUCCGUGCCAGCAGCCGCGGUACUACGGAGGGUGCAAGCGUUACUCGGAAUCACUGGGCGUAAAGAGCGCGUAGGCGGGAUAGCAAGUCAGAUGUGAAAUCAUAUGGCUUAACCAUAGAACUGCAUUUGAAACUGUUAUUCUAGAGUAUGGGAGAGGUAGGUGGAAUGCGUGGUGUAGGGGUAAAAUGCGUAGAGAUCAAGAGGAAUACUGAUUGCGAAGGCGACCUGCUAGAACAUAACUGACGCUGAUGCGCGAAAGCGUGGGGAGCAAACAGGAUUAGAUACCCCAGUAGUC